CCUACGGGUGGCAGCAGUGAGGAAUAUUGGUCAAUGGACGAGAGUCUGAACCAGCCAAGUAGCGUGAAGGAUGGCUGCCCUAUGGGUUGUAAACUUCUUUUAUAUGGGAAUAAAAUGUUCCACGUGUGGGCUUUUGUAUGUACCAUAUGAAUAAGGAUCGGCUAACUCCGUGCCAGCAGCCGCGGUAAUACGGAGGAUCCGAGCGUUAUCCGGAUUUAUUGGGUUUAAAGGGAGCGCAGGUGGAUUGUUAAGUCAGUUGUGAAAGUUUGCGGCUCAACCGUAAAAUUGCAGUUGAAACUGGCAGUCUUGAGUACAGUAGAGGUGGGCGGAAUUCGUGGUGUAGCGGUGAAAUGCUUAGAGAUCACGAAGAACUCCGAUUGCGAAGGCAGCUCACUGGACUGCAACUGACACUGAUGCUCGAAAGUGUGGGUAUCAAACAGGAUUAGAUACCCUUGUAGUC
rnacentral:rRNA from 1 species